GGAAACUCGACGGCACGAACACCGCUGAGACUUCCACUUCCAAAGCGGCAUUCGGUGAGAACAAGCUCCCGAACAAGAGCCACUGGGUGAACAUAUACACGAACACUUUGUUCGUCUAUUCCAUUGGAUUUUGGUACUCCCAAAAGAGACCGACUGCACAGCCUAAUUUCAUGGAACUCUUUUGGGCAGGCUCCUCAUGUGCGGUCGGUCUAAACUAUAAGCCGGUGGCGUUUCGGCUACAUUCAU